rnacentral:lncRNA from 1 species
UGAGACAGCACCCUGAGCAAGUUCUCACCACGGGAGAGAGAGAAGUCAACAGCUCUCCUGAACUCCCCAGCAGAAUCAGGGCUGGGACUAUAAUCACGAGGCCACUGGCCUGACCAACCCCGCCUCCACUGACACUGCAUCCCAGCUCCUGCUUUAUUUCUUUUUUCUCUAAAAUCUCAAAGUUUCCAUCAGUCACUUAAAGGCCAUUGUUUAUUCUUCCCAGUUGUAGCCACAAACUGGGAUUAUAACCAUGUGCUUCAAAUGAGAUGAGAAAAAAGGAUAGGAUAACUAAGAGUCACAGGGAUAAAGCAACGCCAUGGUGCUGCCCACUGACAGAGAGAAAUGGAUGUGUGAAGAUCAAUUGGAGGCUCCAUUCGGGCCAGAAGCUCCUAAUCAUGGCCAAGCCUCACUUGCCAAGAGAUGAGAAGACUUUCCCCUGACCACAGUAAGUCCUGGGAUUUUUCUUCUGUAGUCCAGCAAAAUCCCCCAUGUCUUAAAGAGUGGGGACACAUCUAGCACACGUUGUAUUGUCCUGAACAAAGUAUUUAACCUGUCUGGGUUUUUCUUCAUCUGCAAACAAUGCAGUCAUUGGUUACACAGUGGAUGCAGAGUGCUUGAGUACCAAAUAGGAAGUCAAACAGGGCUCAGAAUCCAAGACUGGCCUUCUUGUCUGUGUAAUAUUGGGCAAG